UACGUAGGGUGCGAGCGUUGUCCGGAAUUAUUGGGCGUAAAGAGCUCGUAGGCGGUGUGUCACGUCGUUCGUGAAAACCUGCAGCUUAACUGUGGGCGUGCGGUCGAUACGGGCAUCACUGGAGUUCGGCAGGGGAGACUGGAAUUCCUGGUCUAGCGGUGAAAUGCGCAGAUAUCAGGAGGAACACCGGUGGCGAAGGCGGGUCUCUGGGCCGAUACUGACGCUGAGGAGCGAAAGCGUGGGGAGCAAACAGG
rnacentral:rRNA from 1 species